GACGUAGGGCGCGAGCGUUGUCCGGAUUUAUUGGGCGUAAAGAGCUCGUAGGCGGUCUGUCGCGUCGGAUGUGAAAACCCGGAACUCAACUCCGGGCCUGCAUUCGAUACGGGCAGACUUGAGUACUGCAGGGGAGACUGGAAUUCCUGGUGUAGCGGUGGAAUGCGCAGAUAUCAGGAGGAACACCGGUGGCGAAGGCGGGUCUCUGGGCAGAAACUGACGCUGAGGAGCGAAAGCGUGGGGAGCGAACGGG
rnacentral:rRNA from 1 species